UGCUGGAGUUUUGUGUGUGAGCCCAGGAUGGGGUGGACUAACAGGAAGAUGGUUGAGGAUCCGAAGCGAAAACCCCUCUUUGUCCUUACUGGCAUCUUGCUGCUUAGCUCAGCACAAGCAGGGAACAUAUACAGAACCUCAGGGCAUCGCUGCGCUGAUUUCCAGACGGCAAACUUCCUACAUGGCAGUAAGCUUAAUGUCCAGUUUCUUCUAUUCACCUCCUCCAGCCCUAGCUGUGGGGAGCUAAUUUUGGCUGAUGAUGACAUCAAGAACUCCAGCUUCAAUAGCAGCCUGGAAACGAAGAUAAUAAUCCAUGGGUUCAGAGCGUUGGGUACAAAACCUUCCUGGAUUGAAGGGCUUGUCCAUGCAAUAUUGCACAUAAGUCAGGUAAAUGUGAUUGCAGUGGACUGGGUUCACGGGGCUACAGGAGCCUAUAACUCGGCAGUGGAAAACGUCACACAGGUGGCCCUCUUCAUCACAAGCUUCAUCAGCAAGCUCCUGGCCCUGGGAGUCUCUGCAACAUCCAUUCACAUUAUCGGUGUGAGCCUUGGUGCACAUGUUGGGGGCCUGGUUGGGCACUUCCAUGAUGGUCAGCUGGGACAGAUAACAGGCCUGGAUCCUGCAGGCCCUAAAUACACCAGAGCCAGCCUGGAAGAACGCCUGGACCCUGGGGAUGCCCUCUUUGUGGAAGCCAUUCAUACCGAUGCUGACAAUUUUGGGAUCCGGAUCCCUGUUGGACACAUCGAUUAUUUUGUCAAUGGAGGCAAAGAUCAGCCAGGAUGCCCCCGGUUCAUCUCUGCAGGCUACAAGUAUCUGAUCUGUGAUCACAUGAGGGCAGUACAUCUCUAUGUCAGUGCCUUGAAACAUUCCUGUCCUAUCGUGGCAUUCCCUUGCACAAGUCAUCAGGAUUUUUUGAAUGGACGAUGCGUGGACUGUGGUGAUCCCUUCCUAUUCUCCUGUCCCAGAAUAGGCCUGCUAGAGCAGGCAGUUGUCAACAUGAGAAGGCUGCCUAUGAAAGUGAACGCUUAUUUAAUGACCAGUUCUUCGGUGCCGUUCUGUGUUCACCACAGCCUCAUUGAGUUCCGCUUGCAGAAGAAAAGAAAUGUAAUCACCAGCAUUGAAAUCACUUUCUUCAGCAACAGCACCAAGGACACAACAAAGAUCACCAUGUGAGUUACAGUGCAUGCUUCUGGCUUGCUUUUUCCCAAUUCCGUGUAUAAGCAUGUUUUUCCCAGACCAGGAAAGGCACAAGGAUGGAACAUCUCCCUGAGUGCAGCCACCGUGUGAUGAACCACAGUCUUUCUUAAGUUCCUACACGUUUACCUUAAAUGCUUUCAAGAGUCAGUGAAGCAAAAGCAGAUCCAAGCAGCCCUGAAAACUCAGAAGCCAGAUCUGCCUUCUCCAAAGGUGUGGGAAGGAGGAAAUAGCAACACCCAGGUCAAGUCAGGACCCACAAUUUGUUCAAGAAGACAUGCAGCACUUCCUUUUGCAGCUGUCAGACACAGCAUUUGUCACGUGUGCAGCAGGAGACAUGAGCCCUGGAGAGAAAUCUGCCUGGGAAGUGAGACAGCCAGGCAAUCCCAAGGCUUUACUGUACCCUCCCGUUUUAGUGAGACAGUAGAGUUACAGCUAUCCAGGGACACCCUUGCCCUGAAAGACAGCAGCUGUGCUUCACUUAAGUGCCCACUUAAGAAUCACAGGAGUUGGAAGGACCUCAGGAGAUCAUCAAAUCCAAACCCUACCUAAAGCAGAUUCCAUGCAAUAGGUCACACAGGUAGAAGUCCAGACGCCAUUAGCCUACACAUGCUGCUCACUGUGUCCCCAAGAGAUGAGUCCUCAAGCCUGACAGCUGUCACAGGGCUGACAGAGUAAGGAGAGUUUUACAUGGCAUAUUUCCCUGCUGCACUCGUAUUGCUUAUGUACCACGUUAUGUAACAUGGCCUCACCCCCACACCCAAGAAAACAUAGUUCUGAAGUUAGCCAGAGUCCUACAUGCGCCCAAAGGCAGCGUAGGCUUUGACAAAAUGUCAGUCCCAGUAGUGAAUUUCUUCAGUCUAAUUAAUUGUGCUCCUCUGUCCUACGGCAUGGCUGGGUCCUGUCCACGCACAAUAUACUGUAAAGGGACAGUCUCUUCUCAGUUUGUUUUCCAUCUAUGAUCCAUCAUUCACCUUUAUAGCCACAAUUUAAUGAUGCUUCUCAUUUUGGACAGCUUCAAGCCAUACACAUAAAACUCCAGCAUCUACCACUGCAGUCUAAGAAGAGAACUGGAUGCACUGGUUUGGAUUGGCUGCUCUGGCCUGGGAGGACAUUGAGUCCAGCCAUCAGCCUGAUGCUCAACUUAUUUUGGUUACCAGAAUUGUAGACUCUUCCUGAUCCCUUUGUCAUCUCUUCCCUUUGUCAUGUUUCUGAGCAGACAGUCACCAAAUGCUUUUUGGAUUUCACCGACUCCACUACACACAUUAUUAACCAAUACAAGGGAAUAGGUGCCUAGUAGGUCAGGCAUAAGAUGCCCUAUAGGACAGACUCCAUGGAAGGGGGCAGCCCACCUAGUAAAACAGCUGGGCAGCAUCACUUCAGGGCAUACAGCCUGCCACCUUGGCUCUGGAAAUCACUGCUCUGGAUUUCCUUUGUUCACAUUAUGUGGUGAUGAGCUUAAGGACAGGCAAAGUUUCAUCUAUCCAAGCAUCUCACCUUCAACACAGCCUAAAGUAAAUACCUUGAGUAGAGCAUAAAUAAGCAGUGUAGGCAUGCAGCAAUGAUUCCUGAAGGUAAUGUCCCUAUUUCUAGCAAACACAUUUCAGGGACAUUCAGAGCUCACAUCUCUUUCCUUCCA